AUAUAUAUAUAUAUAUAUAGAGAGAGAGAGAGAGAGAGAGAGAGAGAGAGAGAGAGUUAGGCUGGUAUACUAUCGGUAGUACGGAGGCCUCCGUGCUGCCAAGUUGUUUUCGAUGAUACGACUUCCAAAUCGACGAUCGGCUCUGUUAGACUUGAUCUAUUCUAUUGAAAGUAUUUGGAAACAAAAUUUUAUAAUUUUUUAGCAUCAUUUACUUAUCGAGCGAGUAGUCUAAAAUUGAACGGCUGAAAAUAAAAAUCUCAUAAAAAAUAGUGAUAAAAGACUAAAAUUUAAGAUCAGAGGUACUGAUUUUACUCUAAAUAGUGAAAAGAAUUUUCUAGAAAAAUUUCAUCAGAUUUGGAUUGUUUUACACCAUUAAAUUCACGAACGCAUCACAUCUACAUAUUAAAAUUGUCAAUUUUGAGACCUUUUGAUCACUAGUCAAAUGAUGUCAAAAAAUUAUGAAAUUUAGUUUUCAAAUACUUUUAAUAGUGUAGAUCAAGU
rnacentral:lncRNA from 1 species